GAUAGCAGCAGCAGCGUCGGCAGCGGCAGCGGCAGCGGCAACGGUUGUGCUGUGAUAUUCGCCGUUUGUUUAUAACACGCGUCAGUCCGGGGGAGCGCAACAACAACAACAACAACAACAACAAGGAACAGGCUGUUGAUCAACGCAUGUUAUACCCUCGACAGGCUGUUAAGGUUAACAGUGAGGGGCUAAAAUAUAAUUCGAUGCGCUGUUGUGAGCUGUGUUAAGUUGUUGCCAUGCUUAUUUUAAGCAUAGAAGUGAGCUGAGUAAGCUACUCGCUCGAAUGUGUCACUCGGCAUUUGAUGGCGGCAAGCAGCGAGUGAUGUGUGCCAGAGACCAGAGUGACCAGCCAGUUGCUUACGCACUUACGCCGUAAUGACUCAUCGGCUAUCCGAGGGGUUCCUAGUACAACAGUUACAAGUCGGAGUGACAAACUAAAUGUUAAAGCAUUCGCUGGCACACAUAACUCUAACGAGUAGUAAGAGACGACUAUGACGAGUACUCGCUGAUAUGUUGGAACGAGUGACGACUACUCGCUGAAAUGUUGCAAAAGUUCUUGUGUUUUCAAUUCGAAUGUGGGUUACAAGUGAAAAACGAUAUUGUAUGGUUGCUUAGUUACACACACUCGUCAGAAACUAACUAAAACGAAAUGGCUAAUCAAGUCGCUUGCAAGUUUGUCGAUUUCUACAAGAGUUUGUAACGAGAAGUAGCAAAAACCCAGCGUGUACAAGCUACAAAACAAAUGGAAACGCGACUUACAUUCUCUAAAUAGUAACGAGUGACGAGUAAACUACUCGCUUGAAUAUCUUACAAAAUAUUGCAAAAGCAUUUUAAGGACAUUUGGCGAGUGAGCAGUCAGCGUGUGAUUACUCGCUGAGGUAAGAUAACAAAUAAGUUUAUGAUCAAGUCUAUUAGCAUACAA